UGACUUACGCUGGCGGCGGGGAUUACCGUGAUCAAGAAGGCGGUGGGGCUCCAGGACGAGGGGCCUGUACAUUGCAACUCCGUAUGUGGCUGACUCCUGCGACUACGCCAAAUCGGGCGUGGCUCGAAGCGCAUAAUUUUGGUAGUGGGGAGCAAGCGUUCGCGCUGUCCGCA
rnacentral:snRNA from 1 species